rnacentral:rRNA from 1 species
AAGGGACCACCAGGAGUGGAGCCUGCGGCUUAAUUUGACUCAACACGGGAAAACUCACCCGGCCCGGACACCGUAAGGAUUGACAGACUGAGAGCUCUUUCUUAAUUCGGGGGGUGGUGGGGCAUGGGCGUUCUUAGUUGGGGGAGCGAUUUGUCUGGGUAAAUUCGAUAAAGAAAGAGACUCUGGGCUAUUUAAUAGACCGGUUUUUUUAAAAGUAUUCGGACUUCUUAAAGGGGACAGGGGCGUCCAAGCCCCUGGAAUAAAAGAAUAAACGGGCUUGGAAGGCCCUUAGAUGCCGGGGGCUGCCCGCGCGCUCCACUGAAAGAAUCAGUGGGGCGUUAUUCCUAGUCCGGAAGGACCGGGUAACCCAAGUAAAUUCUUUCGUGCUUGGGAUAGGGAAUUGCAAUUAUUUCCCUUAACGAGGAAUUCCCAGUAAUGCGGGUCAUAAGCUCGCGUGAUUACGUCCUGCCUUGUACACACCGCCGUCGCUACUACCGAUUGAUGACUUAGUGAGUCUAG